rnacentral:rRNA from 1 species
UACCAGCACCCCGAGUGGUCGGGACGUUUAUUGGGCCUAAAGCAUCCGUAGCCGGUUCUACAAGUCUUCCGUUAAAUCCACCUGCUUAACAGAUGGGCUGCAGAAGAUACUAUGGAGCUAGGAGGCGGGAGAGGCAAGCGGUACUCGAUGGGUAGGGGUAAAAUCCGUUGAUCCAUUGAAGACCACCAGUGGCGAAGGCGGCUUGCCAGAACGCGCUCGACGGUGAGGGAUGAAAGCUGGGGGAGCAAACAGG